rnacentral:rRNA from 1 species
CCUACGGGUGGCACCAGUGGGGAAUAUUGCACAAUGGGCGCAAGCCUGAUGCAGCCAUGCCGCGUGUGUGAGGAAGGCCUUCGGGUUGUAAAGCACUUUCAGCGAGGAGGAAGGCGUUAAGGUUAAUAACCUUGGCGAUUGACGUUACCCGCAGAAGAAGCACCGGCUAACUCCGUGCCAGCAGCCGCGGUAAUACGGAGGUGCAAGCGUUAAUCGGAAUUACUGGGCGUAAAGCGCACGCAGGCGGUCUGUCAAGUCGGAUGUGAAAUCCCCGGGCUCAACCUGGGAACUGCAUUCGAAACUGGCAGGCUAGAGUCUUGUAGAGGGGGGUAGAAUUCCAGGUGUAGCGGUGAAAUGCGUAGAGAUCUGGAGGAAUACCGGUGGCGAAGGCGGCCCCCUGGACAAAGACUGACGCUCAGGUGCGAAAGCGUGGGGAGCAAACAGGAUUAGAUACCCCUGUAGUC